CUACGGGGGGCACCAGUGGGGAAUAUUGCACAAUGGGGGAAACCCUGAUGCAGCAACGCCGCGUGGAGGAUGACGCAUUUCGGUGUGUAAACUCCUUUUAUCAAGGAAGAAAUUUGACGGUACUUGAUGAAUAAGCACCGGCUAACUCCGUGCCAGCAGCCGCGGUAAUACGGAGGGUGCAAGCGUUACUCGGAAUCACUGGGCGUAAAGGACGCGUAGGCGGUUUGAUAAGUUGGAUGUGAAAUCCUAUGGCUUAACCAUAGAACUGCAUCCAAAACUGUCAGACUAGAGUGAGGGAGAGGUGAAUGGAAUUAGUGGUGUAGGGGUAAAAUCCGUAGAGAUCACUAGGAAUACUCAUAGCGAAGGCGAUUCACUGGAACUUUACUGACGCUGAGGCGUGAAAGCAUGGGGAGCAAACAGGAUUAGAUACCCCGGUAGUC
rnacentral:rRNA from 1 species